rnacentral:rRNA from 1 species
UCGGGAAUUUUGGGCAAUGGGCGAAAGCCUGACCCAGCAACGCCGCGUGAAGGAUGAAGUAUUUCGGUAUGUAAACUUCGUAAGAAUAGGAAGAAUAAAUGACGGUACUAUUUGUAAGGUCCGGCUAACUACGUGCCAGCAGCCGCGGUAAUACGUAGGGACCAAGCGUUGUUCGGAUUUACUGGGCGUAAAGGGCGCGUAGGCGGUUUGUCAAGUCAGUUGUGAAAUCUCCGAGCUUAACUCGGAACGGUCAGAUGAUACUGCUUUGCUAGAGUGCAGAAGGGGCAAUCGGAAUUCUUGGUGUAGCGGUGAAAUGCGUAGAUAUUCGCAGGAACACCAGUGGCGAAGGCGACUUGCUGGACUUAUGGUGACGCUGAGACGCGAAAGCGUGGGGAGCAAACAGGAUUAGAUACCCCGGUAGUCCCUGAGCGGGCUGGCAAGGCGCAU